GAUGAAGAACGCAGCGAAAUGCGAUAAGUAAUGUGAAUUGCAGAAUUCAGUGAAUCAUCGAAUCUUUGAACGCACACUGCGCCCCUUGGUAUUCCGAGGGGCAUGCCUGUUCGAGCGUCAUUAUAACCCCUCAAGCUCAGCUUGGUGUUGGGGCCUGCUGCACUGGCAGCCCUUAAAAUCAGUGGCGGCGCCAUCUGGCUCUAAGCGUAGUAAUUCUUCUCGCUAUGGAGUCCUGGUGGAUGCUUGCCAUCAACCCCCAAUUUUCUAUGGUUGACCUCGGAUCAGGUAGGGAUACCCGCUGAACUUAAGCAUAUCAAUAAGCGGAGGA
rnacentral:misc_RNA from 1 species